GGUAAGGCAUAUGGUUACAUCAGAGGUCGGGGUCAUGGACCAAAACCAAAUAGAAGGGCCUACUCAAGCGCAUCAAGCUCAACUCAGCAUGUAGUGGAAGAAUUGGCCUCUACAAAGGAGAUUGUUGCUACGCAACAAGCUCAAAUUGAGGCUCAACAAUCUCAACUUGAAGCUCAACAGAAGAAGAUCGAUUGGCUACAGAGUGUCGUGUCUAACUUGGUUGGCAUUUCACCUCCUAUGACGGCACUAGUGCAACAGGGCUAGGUUUCACAACUGAGCGGCCAAUGCCAUCUGACGGAAUAGGUUCGCUAAUGUCUAACACUGUACAAAGGAUGUCAAGUUAUCCAAGAUCAUUUGCAAGUCAUUUGAGACCAGGAUAUAGACCUGCUCCAACUUCUUCUGAUGGAAAUGGAGAUGACCUUGGAGGAGCAGCGGAAAGCAAUACUCGCGCUAAAGACUGAGGAGAGAAAACUAUUGCCUCUGCAUUUCUUGCACAUCUAGUAGACUAUGUUGGAUCUAAAUAAAAACAAAAUUCAGUGUACAAAUGCUAAAUGUAAUGUUUGGAUCAUAUUGGGGUGUACUGAUUGGAUCAUAUGUUCAGAUCAGUACUAAACAUGGUACUGUACUUUGCAAAUGCUAGAGUGGUAUUUCCUACUUGCGAAACAAAAUUCAGUUUAGCAUGUAAUG